rnacentral:rRNA from 1 species
AUUGAACGCUGGCGGCAUGCCUUACACAUGCAAGUCGAACGGUAACAGGUUAAGCUGAUGCGUGGCGAGCGGGCGAGUAAUGUAUCGGAACGUGCUCCGUCGUGGUCGAUAACUUCUUGAAAGAGCAGCUAAUACCGCAUACGACCUUAGCGUGAAAGCGGUGGAUCUCAAGACCUCGCGUGUUUGGAGCUGCCGAUAUCAGAUUAGGUAGUUGGUGAGGUAAAGGCUCACCAAGGCGACGAUCUGUAGCUGGUCUGAGAGGACGACCAGCCACACUGGAACUGAGACACGGCCCAGACUCCUACGGGAGGCAGCAGUGGGGAAUAUUGGACAAUGGGCGCAAGCCUGAUCCAGCCAUGCCGCGUGCGGGAAGAAGGCCUUCGGGUUGUAAACCGCUUUUGUCAGGGAAGAAAAGGUUCUGGCUAAUACCUGGGACUCAUGACGGUACCUGAAGAAUAAGCACCGGCUAACUACGUG